UGACCCUUUUGUUGAUGUUCUCAAGGUAACAGCCCUCCUGCUAUUGAAACAGUCUGAGAUUGAUGGUGAAUCCUUUGAGCAAGGAGGAAUGCCUACUGGAAGAAGAGAGGUGGAGUUGUCUCUUUGCUGAUUGGAACUGAGCAGCCGUCACUGCUUAAGACGUUGUGGUUGCCUGCCUUUGGGCCGCACCCUAGCCUUCAA
rnacentral:lncRNA from 1 species